rnacentral:rRNA from 1 species
UCAAUAAGCGGAGGAAAAGAAACUAACAAGGAUUCCC